GACGAACGCUGGCGGCGUGCUUAACACAUGCAAGUCGAACGGGAGUAUUGAAGAAGCUUGCUUUAGAGAUACUUUAGUGGCGGACGGGUGAGUAACGCGUGAGGAGCUGUCCGAUGCAGGGGGACAACAGUUGGAAACGACUGCUAAUACCCCAUAAGCCGAGAGGUAAAAGGAUUUAUCCGGCAAUGGAGGUACUCGCGUCCUAUUAGUUAGUUGGUGAGGUAACGGCUCACCUAGGCAAUGAUAGGUAGGCGGCCUUAACGGGUGGUCGCCCACACUGGGAUUGAGAUACGGCCCAGACUCCUACGGGAGGCAGCAGUCGAGAAUAGUCUACAAUGGUCGGAAGACUGAUAGUGCGACGCCGCGUGAACGAUGAAUCCCUUCGGGGUGUAAAGUUCUUUUAUAUGUGAGCAGUGCUUCUUAUAUUAACAGUAUGGGGAGAGAGAUAUUAGCAUAUGAAUAAGCAACGGCUAACUCCGUGCCAGCAGCCGCGGUAAA
rnacentral:rRNA from 1 species